rnacentral:rRNA from 1 species
GAUGAACGCUGGCGGCGUGCCUAAUACAUGCAAGUCGAGCGAACGGACGAGAAGCUUGCUUCUCUGAUGUUAGCGGCGGACGGGUGAGUAACACGUGGAUAACCUACCUAUAAGACUGGGAUAACUUCGGGAAACCGUAGCUAAUACCGGAUAAUAUUUUGAACCGCAUGGUUCAAAAGUGAAAGACGGUCUUGCUGUCACUUAUAGAUGGAUCCGCGCGGCAUUAGCUAGUUGGUAAGGUAACGGCUUACCAAGGCAACGAUGCAUAGCCGACCUGAGAGGGUGAUCGGCCGCACUGGAACUGAGACACGGUCCAGACUCCUACGGGAGGCAGCAGUAGGGAAUCUUCCGCAAUGGGCGAAAGCCUGACGGAGCAACGCCGCGUGAGUGAUGAAGGUCUUCGGAUCGUAAAACUCUGUUAUUAGGGAAGAACAUAUGUGUAAGUAACUGUGCACAUCUUGACGGUACCUAAUCAGAAAGCCACGGCUAACUACGUG